GCGAGCGGCGGAUGGGUGAGUAACACGUGGGGAACCUGCCCCUAAGUCUGGGAUACCAUUUGGAAACAGGUGCUAAUACCGGAUAAUAAAGCAGAUCGCAUGAUCAGCUUUUGAAAGGCGGCGUAAGCUGUCGCUAAGGGAUGGCCCCGCGGUGCAUUAGCUAGUUGGUAAGGUAACGGCUUACCAAGGCGACGAUGCAUAGCCGAGUUGAGAGACUGAUCGGCCACAUUGGGACUGAGACACGGCCCAAACUCCUACGGGAGGCAGCAGUAGGGAAUCUUCCACAAUGGACGCAAGUCUGAUGGAGCAACGCCGCGUGAGUGAAGAAGGUUUUCGGAUCGUAAAGCUCUGUUGUUGGUGAAGAAGGAUAGAGGUAGUAACUGGCCUUUAUUUGACGGUAAUCAACCAGAAAGUCACGGCUAACUACGUGCCAGCAGCCGCGGUAAUACGUAGGUGGCAAGCGUUGUCCGGAUUUAUUGGGCGUAAAGCGAGCGCAGGCGGAAAAAUAAGUCUAAUGUGAAAGCCCUCGGCUUAACCGAGGAACUGCAUCGGAAACUGUUUCUCUUGAGUGCAGAAAGAGGAGAGUGGAACUCCAUGUGUAGCGGUGGAAUGCGUAGAUAUAUGGGAAGAACCACCAGUGGCGAAGGCGGCUCUCUGGUCUGCAACUGA
rnacentral:rRNA from 1 species